CCCUACGGGGCGCAGCAGGGGAGGAGGCGGGUGUUUUCCGGCUGGGUCCGGAUGGGUCGGUAGUCUGUUGCUUGGCGGAACCGCUCGAAGCUGGGGAACAGGCGGAUUCGGGUUCGUUAUGGGUUUGCGAUCCGGGAUUUUUGAGCAUGGAUGCGCGGGCGGCGGUGAAGCUGCUCAAGGCGGCAGGGGUGUCGUCAGGCGAUUCUGGGGAGGUUGGGUGGACGUUUGCCGCGAUGGGCGAGCUUGAAUUCGACCUGAACCGGGAGUUUUGCACGGCGCUGGGCGCGGAAUCGAGUUCGGCGGGUCAUGUGGCGUCCGCACGGGCCGCGGGAUCUACUUGGCCGGUGAAAUCGCUGAACCGUCUAUACCGGAGACUGCAUGGCAUUCCUUUCUAUAUUAUUAUGCCUUCCGGGGCGGGGGAGC
rnacentral:rRNA from 1 species